AAAAAACCAAAACAUGCACUGCCAAUAUCCACGAAGGUGGGACUUCACCUGUCUCGGUCCCGUGUGCUGAGUUUCUACUCGUCUUGGCUGCAACCCGCGUUCUGCUGCUCCCAGCGCUGGCUCUGUGUGUCACGACACCCUGCUGCUCAAACCUUUGGCCUCCUCUGCAAAAUCCACUGGGCCGCGUUGAGCGCGAAGGCCUUGGCCCUUUGGACAUGCUGUUGGAGCAGCGUGAGCAAUGAUGCCGUUUACUUCAGGUUAUAAAAACUGGGAGGAGGAAAUUGCCAGGUCAAAGUCACUUGCAAGAGGAGACUCCUCUCGUACUAAAACGGCUGCCUCCGAGUCCAAAUGCUGAGUCCACCUCUGGGCUCUCUUUUGGUGCUUCUCUCCUCUUCAACAAACUGGACCCUGAUCCAAAGACAGGUUUGUUCAUCAGUCCGAGCGGUGUGCCUCGUGCUGUUUAUCAUCGGCGACGAGCCUUCUGGUGCUUGCUGGAUGUAACAGCAACUCCAUGUGGAAGCUGUGUCUGUUCCAGUGGAGGUGCUGUUACUUGCAGAGAUCUACCAAAGACGACAAGAAGCCAGCACGCAAUUGCUUUUAUUUUCCAUUCUGCUUUUUUUUUUGUGAGUGUUACUACGUCUUUGAAAGAUUGGUAUGUAGCUAAAGAGAGAUGGGGCACAAGGUGAUGACCUAUGAAUUGACAGCCAGUGAUUUCCAGCCUCUGCCUGUCAGUUCUGUAGGCCACUGCUGCGUUCGUCCUGCUGAGCGUGUACAGGUACACGACCGUUUUAUCUCCCACAUGCCUUCACUAAUAAAUAAACUGUGACUUUUUUGUGAUUUUUUUUUAAGGAUGGCAUUGCUGAAAAAAAGUAUACGCGGUGAAUAAAACCUUAUUGUGUUGCUCAGCGAGUCUGUCAUUUUGCACUGAUGGUCUAUUCAAAUAACCACCUGUAACCUCAAACAGUGAAAUUGUAAAUGAUGAGCUCACCCUGAAAGUGCACCAGUGUAUUGCACGAAUAUAUUUAUGAUCUACUAAUCAUUACAGGACAAUGAUACUAACUGCAAAGAGGAAGUAAGCUCAGUACAAAAGUGUUGAUGUGACACUGGACCACUGCAGAACCUGAUGUGUCUGCAUGCCUGUAAAUGAAACAGGCAACAAGUAGUGCAGAUAAAUUUAACCCUACUAAAAAACCUGAGGUAAAUCAGCGAUUUCCAUAUUGGAAAUUAUAUACUGAAUGUCUUCAUAAUAUAUAAUGUGGCAGGGAGAUAUAUAAUGUCCUCUUAAUUAAAAUGCAACCUCCAGGCGAUUGUAUUAUUAUAAUAAUCAUCCUUAAACAAAGGAUGUUCACUUUUUGAAUGCACCGUUGCAUCAGCAAUUUACUAUUUUAAAUAUGUUGCAUGUUUGUGGGACUGUUAAAUGUUGUAAUGGAUAUUGUUAAUAAAUAAAACAGUGAAUUCUUAUCAGAUAGUUUGUGUGUUCAUGACAUUCAGCCUUCUUCAACUGCUCCUCAUAAUACAGUGUGAGGCAGUGCAGGAGAAGUCUCGUUUGACUUUAACUGAGGUAAAAAGGUAAGCAACCAUCAGCUCUGCCUGUUUUUAUCAGAGGGUUAUGAUGUAGUGAUGAUCAGAGAAAUUCCUGCUUAAAAGAAAUGUUGUUGUCCCUGUGCUGCACAGUGUUGCACAGAUAAGACAGAUGUGGGAAGAUUCAUGAUCUUUAUUGCCGUUAUGGAAGAAUAUAGUCAGCAAAUUACAGUUAUACUAACCUCACAUGGUGCCUAACACUUCAGCAAGAGAUAAAUACUGACACAUAUAAAUUCUAAAAAGCAUAUAUUAUAUUUUUUUCUUUUUAAAUACAUCACUUACAUCGUUAAAAUGAAAAUGGCUACAUCUGCAGUAGUAGAGUAUUGGACAAACUGGUAUGAAUAUAUAUUUAAAAUAUAUGGAACUAUUUAAACUUGUACUGCAGAAAAUAAAC
ensembl:lncRNA